CUCUGGCGAUUGACGACUAUUAUUAGGGUUUCAAAUUACCCUUCGUCUUCAGCAGUUCAUAUCGUUGCGAAUUCACCACUCCAAAACCCUCGCUCCACCUUCUCCAGCCCACGCGAAAACAACCCCAGCACCCCACUACCGCAGCUCUCCAUUCUCCCUCGCUGUCAUUCCCACAGCGCCGCCGUCGGUCGUUGUCCCCACAGUAGUCGUCGUCGCUCGUCGUCAUCCUCUUCUCGUCGCACAACCGGUCCAGACGGAGGACCGAAGCUCACGCUCUAUCCAAACCUUCCUUUGUCUGUUUCAUUGGCGGCCUCUACUGCUAAGUUGUGACAGUGAAAGACCCCAGGGAAGCACAGAUUAUUCUUGGUGGGGUGGAAGAAGGUGGGUUUGAUGUUGUUAUUGCAGAUGUGCACAUGCCUGAGAUGAAUGGAUUUCAAUUGCAGCAGCAAAUCACCACUCACUUUCAACUGCCUGUUAUUUACUCUAGCUUUGCUAUUAAGUGUGGUGGUCAAGAAAUAACAUCGUUUAACCAGAUAGUGUAUGAGAGGGAUAAUGAGACUCUUGGUUCGGCAACAUAUUACAU